GAGUAACACGUGGGUAACCUACCUAUAAGACUGGAAUAACUUCGGGAAACCGGAGCUAAUGCCGGAUAACAUAUAGAACCGCAUGGUUCUAUAGUGAAAGAUGGUUUUGCUAUCACUUAUAGAUGGACCCGCGCCGUAUUAGCUAGUUGGUAAGGUAAUGGCUUACCAAGGCGACGAUACGUAGCCGACCUGAGAGGGUGAUCGGCCACACUGGAACUGAGACACGGUCCAGACUCCUACGGGAGGCAGCAGUAGGGAAUCUUCCGCAAUGGGCGAAAGCCUGACGGAGCAACGCCGCGUGAGUGAUGAAGGUUUUCGGAUCGUAAAACUCUGUUAUUAGGGAAGAACAAAUGCGUAAGUAACUGUGCGCAUCUUGACGGUACCUAAUCAGAAAGCCACGGCUAACUACGUGCCAGCAGCCGCGGUAAUACGUAGGUGGCAAGCGUUAUCCGGAAUUAUUGGGCGUAAAGCGCGCGUAGGCGGUUUCUUAAGUCUGAUGUGAAAGCCCACGGCUCAACCGUGGAGGGUCAUUGGAAACUGGGAAACUUGAGUGCAGAAGAGGAAAGUGGAAUUCCAUGUGUAGCGGUGAAAUGCGCAGAGAUAUGGAGGAACACCAGUGGCGAA
rnacentral:rRNA from 1 species